GAUGAACGCUGGCGGUAUGCUUAACACAUGCAAGUCGAACGGACUCUUCGGAGUUAGUGGCGGACGGGGGAGAAACGCGUGAGAAUCUGGCUUUGGGUUCGGGACAACCACUGGAAACGGGGGCUAAUACCGGAUGUGCCGAGGGGUAAAAGAGAAAUUGCCUGAAGAUGAGCUCGCGUCUGAUUAGCUAGUUGGUGAGGUAAAGGCUCACCAAGGCAGCGAUCAGUAGCUGGUCUGAGAGGAUGACCAGCCACACUGGGACUGAGACACGGCCCAGACUCCUACGGGAGGCAGCAGUGGGGAAUUUUCCGCAAUGGGCGAAAGCCUGACGGAGCAAUACCGCGUGAGGGAAGAAGGCUCUUGGGUUGUAAACCUCUUUUCUUAGGGAAGAACAAAAUGACGGUACCUAAGGAAUCAGCAUCGGCUAACUCCGUG
rnacentral:rRNA from 1 species